CCUACGGGAGGCUGCAGUGAGGAAUAUUGGGCAAUGGGCGUAAGCCUGAACCAGCCAAGUCGCGUGAGGGAUGAAGGUUCUAUGGAUCGUAAACCUCUUUUAUAAGGGAAUGAAGUGUGGGAUGUGUCCUAUUUUGUAUGUACCUUAUGAAUAAGGAGCGGCUAACGCCGUGCCAGCAGCCGCGGUAAUACGGAGGAUCCGAGCGUUAUCCGGAUUUAUUGGGUUUAAAGGGUGCGUAGGCGGACUUUUAAGUCAGCGGUGAAAGUCUGUGGCUCAACCAUAGAACUGCCGUUGAAACUGGGGGGCUUGAGUAUGUUUGAGGCAGGCGGAAUGCGUGGUGUAGCGGUGAAAUGCUUAGAUAUCACGCAGAACCCCGAUGGCGAAGGCAGCCUGCCAAGCCAUGACUGACGCUGAUGCACGAAAGCGUGGGGAUCAAACAGGAUUAGAUACCCGAGUAGUC
rnacentral:rRNA from 1 species